rnacentral:rRNA from 1 species
CCAAUAGCGUAUAUUAAAGUUGUUGCAGUUAAAAAGCUCGUAGUUGAAUUUCGGGGUCAGUAGGUUGGUCGUGCCACCGGUACGUACUGGUCUCACUGAUUCCUCCUUCCUGAUGAGCUGUAAUGCCAUUAAUUUGGUGUUGCGGGGAAUCUGGACUGUUACUUUGAAAAAAUUAGAGUGUUUAAAGCAGGCUAACGCUUGAAUACAUUAGCAUGGAAUAAUGAAAUAGGACGUUCGAUCCUAUUUUGUUGGUUUCUAGGAUUGACGUAAUGAUUAAUAGGGAUAGUUGGGGGCAUUAGUAUUAAAUUGUCAGAGGUGAAAUUCUUGGAUUUAUUGAAGACUAACUACUGCGAAAGCAUUUGCCAAGGAUGUUUUCAUUAAUCAAGAACGAAAGUUAGGGGAUCGAAGACGAUCAGAUACCGUCGUAGUCUUAACCAUAAACUAUGCCGACUAGGGAUCGGAUGAUGUUAAUUUUUUAAUGACUCAUUCGGCGCCUUACG